rnacentral:rRNA from 1 species
ACUAAGCUUCAGUCUAGAGUUGACCGUACCGCAAACCGACACAGGUGGGCAGGAUGAAAAUUCUAAGGCGCUUGAGAGAACUCAGGAGAAGGAACUCGGCAAAUUAACACCGUAACUUCGGGAGAAGGUGUGCCCCGGUAGCGUGUAGAGACUUGCUCUCGAAGCGCGAUGGGGUUGCAGUGAAAUGGUGGCUGCGACUGUUUAAUAAAAACACAGCACUCUGCAAACACGAAAGUGGACGUAUAGGGUGUGACGCCUGCCCGGUGCCGGAAGGUUAAGUGAUGGGGUGCAAGCUCUUGAUCGAAGCCCCGGUAAACGGCGGCCGUAACGAUAACGGUCCUAAGGUAGCGAAAUUCCUUGUCGGGUAAGUUCCGACCUGCACGAAUGGCGUAACGAUGGCCACACUGUCUCCUCCUGGGACUCAGCGAAGUUGAAAUGUUUGUGAAGAUGCAAUCUACCCGCGGCUAGACGGAAAGACCCCAUGAACCUUUACUGUAGCUUUGCAUUGGACUUUGAACCGGCUUGUGUAGGAUAGGUGGGAGACUGUGAAGCCGGGACGCUAGUUUCGGUGGAGUCAACCUUGAAAUACCACCCUGAUUUGUUUGAGGUUCUAACCUUGGUCCGUGAAUCCGGAUCGGGGACCGUGCAUGGUAGGCAGUUUGACUGGGGCGGUCUCCUCCCAAAAGGUAACGGAGGAGUACGAAGGUACGCUUAGGGCGGUCGGACAUCGCCCACAAAGUGCAAUGGCAAAAGCGUGCUUGACUGCGAGGCCAACGCGCCGAGCAGAGACGAAAGUCGGACUUAGUGAUCCUACGACUCCGAGUGGAAGGGUCGUAGCUUACCGGAUAAAAGCUACCCCGGGGAUAACAGGCUAGUCUUGUCCAAGAGUUCACAUCGACGACAAGGCUCGGCACCUCGAUGUCGGCUCAUCGCAUCCUGGGGCUGGAUAAGGUCCCAAGGGUUGGGCUGUUCGCCCAUUAAAGCGGUACGUGAGCUGGGUUCAGACCGUCGUGAGACAGGUCGGUCUCUAUCCGCUGUGGGCGUCGGGAGUUUGAGAGGAUCUGCCCCUAGUACGAGAGGACCGGGGUGGACGGAGCGCUUGUGUGUCGGUUGUCGUGCCAACGGCACAGCCGAGUAGCAAUCUCCGGAGCAGAUAACCGCUGAAAGCAUCUAAGUGGGAAACUGACCUCAAGAUGAGACUCCCCAUCGCGAAAGCGAGUAAGACCCCAGGUAGACGACCUGGUUGAUAGGCGGGAGGUGGAAGCGCAGCAAUGU